rnacentral:tRNA from 1 species
GGCGCCGUGACUUAGUUGGUUAGAGAGCCUGUCUAGUAAACAGGAGCUCGUGAGUUCGAAUCUCGCCGGUGCCU